rnacentral:rRNA from 1 species
AGCAGCCGCGGUAAUUCCAGCUCCAGUAGCGUAUAUUAAAGUUGUUGCAGUUAAAAAGCUCGUAGUUGAAUUUCGGGGUCAGUGGGUUGGUCGUGCCACUGGUAUGUACUGGCCCUACUGAUUCCUCCUUCUUGAAGAACUGUAAUGCCAUUAAUUUGGUGUUGCAGGGAAACAGGACUGUUACUUUGAAAAAAUUAGAGUGUUUAAAGCAGGCAAUCGCUUGAAUACAUUAGCAUGGAA